AUACGUAGGGGACGAGCGUUGUCCGGAAUUACUGGGCGUAAAGGGCGCGCAGGCGGAUAUUUAAGUCAGCUGUAAAAGGCAUGAGCUCAACUCAUGUAUGCGGUUGAAACUGGGUAUCUAGAGUGCUGGAGAGGUAGGCGGAAUUCCCGGUGUAGCGGGGAAAUGCUUAGAUAUCGGGAAGAACACCAGUGGCGAAGGCGGCUUACUGGCCAGCAUCUGACGCUGAGGCGCGAAAGCCAGGGGAGCGAACGGGAUUAGAUACCCCGGUAGUCCGUGCCGUAAACGAUGAAUGCUAGGUGUGGGUGUCGACAGGCAUCCGUGCCGUAGUUAACGCGAUAAGCAUUCCGCCUGGGGAGUACGAUCGCAAGAUUGAAACUCAAAUGAAUUGACGGGG
rnacentral:rRNA from 1 species